GUUAUAUGGUCAAGUGAUUAAGCGCAUACGGUGGAUGCCUUGGCAGCUGGAGGCGAUGAAGGACGUAGGAGCCUGCGAAAAGCGACGGGGAGUUGGCAAACGAACUGUGAUCCGUCGAUGUCCGAAUGGGGAAACCCAACCACUUAGGUGGUUAUCAUGCACUGAAUUCAUAGGUGUAUGAGGCGAACCCGGGGAACUGAAACAUCUAAGUACCCGGAGGAAAAGAAAUCAACCGAGAUUCCGUGAGUAGAGGCGAUCGAAAGCGGACUAGCCCUUAAGCUUGUUAUGGUUUAGUGGAAGGAUCUGGAAAGUUCCGCGAUACAGGGUGAUAGCCCCGUACACGAAAGGCCAUUUUAAGUGAAAUCGAGUAGGUCGGGACACGUGAUAUCUUGACUGAAAAUGGGGGGACCAUCCUCCAAGGCUAAAUACUCCCAGCUGACCGAUAGUGAACCAGUACCGUGAGGGAAAGGCGAAAAGAACCCCGUUGAGGGGAGUGAAAUAGAACCUGAAACCGUAUGCGUACAAGCAGUGGGAGCAUGCUUCGGCAUGUGACUGCGUACCUUUUGUAUAAUGGGUCAGCGACUUAUUUUCAGUGGCAAGCUUAACCGAAUAGGGGAGGCGUAGGGAAACCGAGUCUUAAUAGGGCGAACAGUCGCUGGGAAUAGACCCGAAACCGGGCGAUCUAUCCAUGAGCAGGGUGAAGGUUAGGUAACACUGACUGGAGGCCCGAACCCACUGUCGUUGAAAAGCCAGGGGAUGACUUGUGGAUCGGAGUGAAAGGCUAAUCAAGCCCGGAGAUAGCUGGUUCUCCUCGAAAGCUAUUUAGGUAGCGCCUCGUGUCUCACCAUGGGGGGUAGAGCACUGUUUCGGCUAGGGGGUCAUCCCGACUUACCAACCCGAUGCAAACUCCGAAUACCCAUGAGUGCAAUCACGGGAGACACACGGCGGGUGCUAACGUCCGUCGUGGAAAGGGAAACAACCCAGACCGUCAGCUAAGGUCCCAAAGUUCUAGUUAAGUGGGAAACGAUGUGAGAAGGCCCAGACAGCCAGGAGGUUGGCUUAGAAGCAGCCACCCUUUAAAGAAAGCGUAAUAGCUCACUGGUCGAGUCGGCUCGCGCGGAAGAUGUAACGGGGCUCAAACUAGACACCGAAGCUACGGAUCCUAACUUAGGUUAGGGUGGUAGAGGAGCGUUCUGUACGCCUGCGAAGGUAGAUCGGGAGGUCUGCUGGAGGUAUCAGAAGUGCGAAUGCUGACAUGAGUAACGAUAAAGGGAGUGAGAAGCUCCCUCGCCGGAAGACCAAGGUUUCCUGCGCAACGCUAAUCGGCGCAGGGUGAGUCGGCCCCUAAGGCGAGCACGAAAGUGGUAGUCGAUGGGAAACAGGUUAAUAUUCCUGUACUAAUAAUGACUGCGAUGAAGGGACGGAGAAGGCUAGGUUGGCCUGGCGAUGGUUGUCCAGGUUUAAGGUUGUAGGUAGGCAUCUUAGGCAAAUCCGGGGUGCUAAUACUGAGAGCCGAUAUCGAACUCAUCUUCGGAUGAGGAAGUAAUUGAUGCCAUGCUUCCAGGAAAAGCUUCUAAGCUUCAGGUCAUUAUUAACCGUACCCCAAACCGACACAGGUGGUCAGGUAGAGAAUACCAAGGCGCUUGAGAGAACUCGGGUGAAGGAACUAGGCAAAAUGGCACCGUAACUUCGGGAGAAGGUGCGCCGGAGCUGGUGAAAUUCCUUGCGAAUGGAGCUGGAGCCGGUCGAAGAUACCAGGUGGCUGCGACUGUUUAUUAAAAACACAGCACUCUGCAAACACGUAAGUGGACGUAUAGGGUGUGACGCCUGCCCGGUGCCGGAAGGUUAAUUGAUGGGGUUAGCUU
rnacentral:rRNA from 1 species